AUUGAACGCUGGCGGCAGGCCUAACACAUGCAAGUCGAGCGGAGCGGCGGACGGGUGAGUAAUGCCUAGGAAUCUGCCUGGUAGUGGGGGAUACCGUCCGGAAACGGGCGCUAAUACCGCAUCCUAUCAGAUGAGCCUAGGUCGGAUUAGCUAGUUGGGGGGGUAAAGGCAUCCCAAGGCGACGAGCCGUAACUGGUCUGAGAGUAUGAUCAGUCACACUGGAACUGAGACACGGUCCAGACUCCUACGGGAGGCAGCAGUGGGGAAUAUUGGACAAUGGGCGAAAGCCUGAUCCAGCCAUGCCGCGUGUGUGAAGAAGGUCUUCGGAUUGUAAAGCACUGUAAGUUGGGAGGCGUUACCAACAGAAUAAGCACCGGCUAACUUCGUGCCAGCAGCCGCGGUAAUUC
rnacentral:rRNA from 1 species